rnacentral:rRNA from 1 species
CUCUAGAGAUAGAGCGUUCCCCUUCGGGGGACAAAGUGACAGGUGGUGCAUGGUUGUCGUCAGCUCGUGUCGUGAGAUGUUGGGUUAAGUCCCGCAACGAGCGCAACCCUUAAGCUUAGUUGCCAGCAUUAAGUUGGGCACUCUAAGUUGACUGCCGGUGACAAACCGGAGGAAGGUGGGGAUGACGUCAAAUCAUCAUGCCCCUUAUGAUUUGGGCUACACACGUGCUACAAUGGACAAUACAAAGGGCAGCUAAACCGCGAGGUCAUGCAAAUCCCAUAAAGUUGUUCUCAGUUCGGAUUGUAGUCUGCAACUCGACUACAUGAAGCUGGGAUCGCUAGUAAUCGUAGAUCAGCAUGCUACGGUGAAUACGUUCCCGGGUCUUGUACACACCGCCCGUCACACCACGAGAGUUUGUAACACCCGAAGCCGGUGGAGUAACCAUUUAUGGAGCUAGCCGUCGAAGGUGGGACAAAUGAUUGGGGUGAAGUCGUAACAAGGUAGCCGUAUCGGAAGGUGCGGUUGGAUCACCUC